UACCGGAUAGGAGCGUCCACCGCAUGGUGGGUGUUGGAAAGAUUUAUCGGUUUUGGAUGGACUCGCGGCCUAUCAGCUUGUUGUGAGGUAAUGGCUCACCAAGGCGACGACGGGUAGCCGGCCUGAGAGGGUGACCGGCCACACUGGGACUGAGACACGGCCCAGACUCCUACGGGAGGCAGCAGUGGGGAAUAUUGCACAAUGGGCGCAAGCCUGAUGCAGCGACGCCGCGUGAGGGAUGACGGCCUUCGGGUUGUAAACCUCUUUCAGUAGGGAAGAAGCGAACGUGACGGUACCUGCAGAAGAAGCACCGGCUAACUACGUGCCACGCAGCCGCGGUAAUACGUAGGGUGCGAGCGUUAUCCGGAAUUAUUGGGCGUAAAGAGCUCGUAGGCGGUUUGUCGCGUCUGUCGUGAAAGUCCGGGGCUUAACCCCGGAUCUGCGGUGGGUACGGGCAGACUAGAGUGCAGUAGGGGAGACUGGAAUUCCUGGUGUAGCGGUGGAAUGCGCAGAUAUCAGGAGGACACACCGAUGGCGAAGGCAGGUCUCUGGGCUGUAACUGACGCUGAGGAGCGAAAGCAUGGGGAGCGAACAGGAUUAGAUACCCUGGUAGUCCAUGCCGUAAACGUUGGGCACUAGGUGUGGGGACCAUUCCACGGUUUCCGCGCCGCAGCUAACGCAUUAAGUGCCCCGCCUGGGGAGUACGGCCGCAAGGCUAAAUCUCAAAGGAAUUGACGGGGGCCCGCACAAGCGGCGGAGCAUGCGGAUUAAUUCGAUGCAACGCGAAGAACCUUACCAAGGCUUGACAUGUUCUCGAUCGCCGUAGAGAUACGGUUUCCCCUUUGGGGCGGGUUCACAGGUGGUGCAUGGUUGUCGUCAGCUCGUGUCGUGAGAUGUUGGGUAAGUCCCGCAACGAGCGCAACCCUCGUUCCAUGUUACCAGCACUAGUGUUGGGGACGCAUGGGAGACUGCCGGGGUCAACUCGGAAGGAAGGUGAGGACGACGUCAAAUCAUCAUGCCCCUUAUGUCUUGGGCUUCACGCAUGCUACAAUGGCCGGUGACAAUGGGUUGCGAUACUGUGAGGUGGAGCUAAUCCCAAAAAGCCGGUCUCAGUUCGGAUUGGGGUCUGCAACUCGACCCCAUGAAGUCGGAGUCGCUAGUAAUCGCAGAUCAGCAACGCUGCGGUGAAUACGUUCCCGGGCCUUGUACACACCGCCCGUCAAGUCACGAAAGUCGGUAACACCCGAAGCCGGUGGCCUAACCCUUGUGGGGGGAGCCGUCGAA
rnacentral:rRNA from 1 species